UACAGAGGGUGCAAGCGUUAAUCGGAAUGAUUGGGCGUAAAGCGUCUGUAGGUGGCUUUUUAAGUUCGCCGUCAAAUCCCAGGGCUCAACCCUGGACAGGUGGUGGAAACUACCAAGCUAGAGUACGGUAGGGGCAGAGGGAAUUUCCGGUGGAGCGAUGAAAUGCGUAGAGAUCGGAAGGAACACCCAAGGCGAAAGCACUCUGCUGGGCCGACACUGACACUGAGAGACGAAAGCUAGGGGAGCAAAUGGG
rnacentral:rRNA from 1 species